AAAGCAUCUAGAAAUGUUAAUGAUAAUACACUUAUUGGUUUCAAGCAGGAGCCUAAAGAAUUAGCUUUCUAUGGUCUGUUGGCCAUUUCAGAACUUUGGAAAUGUAAUGGUCAAUUCAUUAGAAAGAAACAGCA